rnacentral:rRNA from 1 species
AGACCCGAAACCCGGUGAUCUAGCCAUGGGCAGGUUGAAGGUUGGGUAACACUAACUGGAGGACCGAACCGACUAAUGUUGAAAAAUUAGCGGAUGACCUGUGGCUGGGGGUGAAAGGCCAAUCAAACCGGGAGAUAGCUGGUUCUCCCCGAAAGCUAUUUAGGUAGCGCCUCGUGAAUUCAUCUCCGGGGGUAGAGCACUGUUUCGGCUAGGGGGCCAUCCCGGCUUACCAACCCGAUGCAAACUGCGAAUACCGGAGAAUGUUAUCACGGGAGACACACGGCGGGUGCUAACGUCCGUCGUGAAGAGGGAAACAACCCAGACCGCCAGCUAAGGUCCCAAAGUCAUGGUUAAGUGGGAAACGAUGUGGGAAGGCCCAGACAGCCAGGAUGUUGGCUUAGAAGCAGCCAUCAUUUAAAGAAAGCGUAAUAGCUCACUGGUCGAGUCGGCCUGCGCGGAAGAUGUAACGGGGCUAAACCAUGCACCGAAGCUGCGGCAGCGAACGUAUCACUUAAAGCGAUUCAGCGGGUUACGAUUGACGGAGCGAAGCGACGUCAAAGCGUAUACAAAGUCGAGUCGGUUUAAGGAUACGUUCGUUGGGUAGGGGAGCGUUCUGUAAGCCUGUGAAGGUGGCCUGUGAGGGUUGCUGGAGGUAUCAGAAGUGCGAAUGCUGACAUAAGUAACGAUAAAGCGGGUGAAAAGCCCGCUCGCCGGAAGACCAAGGGUUCCUGUCCAACGUUAAUCGGGGCAGGGUGAGUCGACCCCUAAGGCGAGGCCGAAAGGCGUAGUCGAUGGGAAACGGGUUAAUAUUCCCGUACUUGGUGUUACUGCGAAGGGGGGACGGAGAAGGCUAUGUUGGCCGGGCGACGGUUGUCCCGGUUUAAGCGUGUAGGCUGGUUUUCCAGGCAAAUCCGGAAAAUCAAGGCUGAGGCGUGACGACGAGGCACUACGGUGCUGAAGCAACAAAUGCCCUGCUUCCAGGAAAAGCCUCUAAGCAUCAGGUAACAUCAAAUCGUACCCCAAACCGACACAGGUGGUCAGGUAGAGAAUACCAAGGCGCUUGAGAGAACUCGGGUGAAGGAACU